rnacentral:rRNA from 1 species
AACGAACGCUGGCGGCAGGCUUAACACAUGCAAGUUGAACGCAUCCUUCGGGGUGAGUGGCAGACGGGUGAGUAACGCGUGGGAACGUGCCCUUCAGUUCGGGAUAACCCAGGGGAACUUGGGCUAAUACCGGAUACGUGCGAGAGCAGAAAGAUUUAUCGCUGAAGGAUCGGCCCGCGUCUGAUUAGCUAGUUGGUGGGGUAAUGGCCCACCAAGGCGACGAUCAGUAGCUGGUCUGAGAGGAUGAUCAGCCACAUUGGGACUGAGACACGGCCCAAACUCCUACGGGAGGCAGCAGUGGGGAAUAUUGGACAAUGGGCGCAAGCCUGAUCCAGCCAUGCCGCGUGAGUGACGAAGGCCUUAGGGUUGUAAAGCUCUUUCGUCCGGGACGAUAAUGACGGUACCGGAAGAAGAAGCCCCGGCUAACUUCGUGCCAGCCGCCGCGGUAA